rnacentral:rRNA from 1 species
CCUACGGGCGGCUGCAGUGGGGAAUAUUGCACAAUGGGCGCAAGCCUGAUGCAGCCAUGCCGCGUGUGUGAAGAAGGCCUUCGGGUUGUAAAGCACUUUCAGCGGGGGGGAAGGCGGUGAGGUUAAUAACCUCAUCGAUUGACGUUACCCGCAGAAGAAGCACCGGCUAACUCCGUGCCAGCAGCCGCGGUAAUACGGAGGGUGCAAGCGUUAAUCGGAAUUACUGGGCGUAAAGCGCACGCAGGCGGUCUGUCAAGUCGGAUGUGAAAUCCCCGGGCUCAACCUAGGAACUGCAUUCGAAACUGGCAGGCUAGAGUCUUGUAGAGGGGGGUAGAAUUCCAGGUGUAGCGGUGAAAUGCGUAGAGAUCUGGAGGAAUACCGGUGGCGAAGGCGGCCCCCUGGACAAAGACUGACGCUCAGGUGCGAAAGCGUGGGGAGCAAACAGGAUUAGAUACCCGUGUAGUC